UUAAUUCUGUCAGGAGAUUAUUCCCACGCCAUUCUAAUGCCACAGUGGCUUCGAAGUGCAUCUUGUGAAGGAACACGGUUACGUCGAAACCACACGUCUUAACCUGUAGAUGGGUUUUGUCCAGAAUAUCAAAAGGUGACAUUAAACAUAAGGAAAGGGAAAUGAAUAUGAGUUGGGAAGUGCUGGGUGCGAGUGUGGGUGGAGGGGACAUUUUAUUCUUUCCCUCCUUUAAUCCUCAAUAUCUCAUAGCAUAGAUGUCUCUACAGAUGUAGGAAAUGAGACUGAGCACAUAGGUCGUCCUUUGGUCACACAAUGGUUGAGUGGCCGUUGUACUGUGAUCCACAUCUUUAUACUCUCCAGGUAACCUUUAGUGCGUCAGUGCAACUCUAAUUGUUCCACGAUUGGGGAAGGGGUUUCGGUGGGGAUAAGUGGUUGCCCUUUCUGGAGAUCGUAACUUGACUUAGGCUUUAGGCCCAUCCUUUAGAGAGCAUACCCCAGGAUUUCAUGAAGUUACACAUUCUGCAACAAGUAAGGCCCAGUGCUUGACAAAAUUUUAAAAUAUUCAGUAGUGAAAGGUCUUCCAUAGGGCCUGCAUUCAAUACUUCUAAGUUUGGGACGCCUGGGUGGCUCAGUCAGAUAAGUGUCUGACUUUGGCUCAGAUCAUGAUCUCGUGGUCUGUGGGUUCGAGGCCCACGUCGGGCUCCAUGCUGAUAGCUCAGAGCCUGGAGCCUGCUUUCGGAUUCUGUUGUCUCCCUCUCUCUCUCUGCCCCUCUCCCACUCACACUCUGUCCCUCUCUCUCUCAAAAUAAUAAAUAAAUAUUUAAAAAAAUUUUAAUACUUCUAAGUUAUCUGAGUUUAACUAGGGAGGAUUUGGGAGGCCUGCAGUGUCACGGGACUGUCUGGUUGAGCAUAAAAGCUCAUUCACUUUCAUAGUAAAACUAUCUUUACUGCUUAUAUAUAUUUAUGUUUUCAUAGCACGGACCCGGCCACUAGAAUAUAUCGCUAUAUAACUUUGCUUUAAGUUGAGUGAAGUGUGAGUUUUACUUGAAGUGCUGUUUUAGCACUAUUUGCAAUAGCUAAACUGCAGAAGUAGCCCAAGUGUCCACCGGUUGAUGAACGGAUAAAGAGGAAAUGGUGUAUAUAUACAAGGGAAUAUUACUCGGCCAUAAAAAAGAAUGAAACCUUGCCAUUUGCAACAACAUGGAUGGAGCUAGAGACUAUUAUACUAAAUGAAAUCAGUUAGAGAAAAAUAUCAUGUGAUUUCACUCUUAGGUGGAAUUUAAGAAACAAAACAAAUGAACAACAGGAAAAAAAAAGGCAAACCAAAAAAUGGGCUGUUAAUUACAGAGAACAUAGGGGAGGUAGGUGAGAGGAUUGGUAAAGUCGGUGAAGGGAAUUAAGAGUACACUUGACGAGCAUGGAGUGCUGUAUGCAAUUGUUGAAUCGGCCUGUUUUACACCUGAAACUGAUACAACACUAGUAUGUUAACUACAUGAAUUAAAAUAAAAAAAUAAAGUGCUGUUUUAAUAAUUUUUAUAGAGUUUUCUUAGUUCCUGGUAAUUUUUUUAUCAAACCAGAUGGGAAAGGAUGAUUGUAUCUUUACUGUGUUAAUUCAUUUAAUACUCAGAAGUGAAAUAAUCUGUCCAGGGUCAUACAACCAGUAAGUGGCGUCAAGUGGCUUGGAGCUAGAAAGAAUUUUGUGCUUUCAAAAUUAGCUGCUAUGCGGGGCGCCUGGAUGGCUCAGGCGGUUAAGCGUCCGACUUCAGCUCAGGUCGUGAUCUCGCGGUUCUUGAGUUCGAGCCCCGCAUCGGGCUCUGUGCUGACAGCUUGGAGCCUGGAGCCUGCUUCGGAUUCUGUGUGUGUGUGUCUCUCUCUCUGCCCCUUACCCGCUCAUGCUCUGUCUCUCUCUGUCUCUGAAAAAAUGAAUAAAUAUUAAAAAAAUAAAAUUAACUACUAUGUAAGAAUAGUCUACUUGGUUAUCAGGAUCUGUACACUGAAGGCAGAUUUCAGUCUUAUCUGUAAUAUAUAUAUAGAAGGUAAUUUUCUCCUAAAAGGUAGCCGCAGAGGGUUCCUAAAUAUCUCAGACAAUUAAAAUGCCUGGCCCACAGGAAGACAGUUGACAAAUAGGUUAUGAGAGGCCCUCGUUCCAUCUUAGCCUCUGUAAGUUUCUAAUUUUGUAAUUCCAUACACACACGUAUGAAAUGUGUAAUUCCUGUUACAAGACGGAAUAAUAUUGAGGACAAAAUCGAGUAAAUUAAUUAAUCGAAGGUGGCCAUGUUGCAAGGGUGAUAAGCAGAGAAAUAAGGAUCAAGUAAUUAGUCAUAUCGGUGCUUGGUGUUCAGCUGAACUCCUCUUUUGAUUUUCUCCCAAGGCUCAUGUUUAAACAUGAAUUUAUGGGCGGAUUGCCCCAUUUUUACGCUUUGGUCAAGAUGGUUAUUUCUGAGGAAAGUGCUAAUUCAGGUUCCCAGGGUUUUAACAGGAUGUCUCAUUCAGGUCAGCGAGAGCUGUUGAUUGUAGACGUGUACCUCUUAUGUGGCAUGUAGAAGAUCUUAGAGCCCAGAGAGAUUUUAGAGAUGAUCUAAUCAUUGCAUUUAUUUAGCUUAUGAAGAAACUACUGCAUGGAACAGCUGUGUGGUUUGCCCGAGGAUGGAUAUGCCUCUUUUCUCGGAGAGAAGUAUGUAGAGUAGAAGUGGAACCUCUGAGUCUAUAUAUCUGACAUUCCUGUGUCUCCUUCGUAAUUUCUUCAAAUUUGGAAUGAGGCAAGAUAAAUAGUUGAAAUAUCAACAUUGAGCGUAGCUCUUGCCACAGUUGAUUCCAGUGUUUUUUAUUGAUUUCAAAAGAACCAGCUUUUGAUUUUUCGUGAUUUUAUUUUCUAUUUCAUGGAUUUCUUGCCUGAUAUUUAUUAUUUCUUUUCUUUCUUUUACUUUGGGUUCCUUUGCUCUUUUUUCUAGUGUUUUUUUUUUUUUUUUUCUUUUUAGAGAGUGCGAACAGGGGAAGGGCCAAGGGGACGGGGGAGAGAGAAUCUUAAGCAGGCUCCGUGCCCAGCAUGGAGUCCAAGGUGGGGCUCCAUCCCAUGACCCUGGGAUCAUGACCUGAACCAAACUCACGUUGGACACUCAACCGACUGAGUCACUCAGGUACGCCCACUCUUUUUCUAGUUUCUUAAUACGGAAACUGGAGUCACUGAUUUGAGUCCUUUCUUACGUGUUUCGUCUUGGAAAUUUACUCCAGAUACUGCUUAAUUCACAUCCCAUCAGUGUUGAUAUGUUAUACUUGCAUUUUCAUUCAGUUAAAACAAUUUUCUAAUUUCACUUUUGAUUUCGACUUUGACCCAUGGGUCAGACUAGAACUAUGCUAGUUUGCAGUUAUUUGAAGAUUUUUCCAGGUACCUUUUGGUACUGAUUUUGAAACAGUUCCAUGUGGUUGGAAGACAUACCUUGCAUGACACGAGCCUUUAUGUACCUGGGCUUGUUUUUUUGGCCCAAAAUGUGGUCUGUGGUAGAAGCAUUUCAUCUGCAUUUGAGGAAAAUGUAUUCAGUGUUCAGUCGUGUGUUUUGCUGUUGCCAUUAGGUAGAGUUUUCUAUUAUGUCAUGGUGUGCUGUGGAUGUCAAGGCAAGUUGGCUGACCGUGUUUUUCAGGUCUCCUGUGUUCUUGCUGAUUUGCUCUUUGUUCUAGCAAUUAAUUAUUGAGAGAGCUCUUCCUGUCCUAGCUCAGUAAAUAGUUUCAUCCUUCUCGUUUCUUGGUUGACGAAUCAUCCCGUAUCCAACAUCAGCAAAUCCUGGCAUUGAAUCUGCCUGCUGACCAUCACUACUGCCACUGGAUUCGUUCAAGCCACCAUAAAAUCUCUGUCUUGUGAAGCAGAUUGAAAAACAGGAUUCCAGCAAUUUGCACCUCCUUUCGUCAGGAUGCGGAGUCUUUGCCUGCCCCGUGAGUCUGGGCUUGGCAUUGUACUGGCUUUGAUCAAUAGAAUGUGAUAGAAGUGACGUGUGAGAUUUGGACCCGAGGCAUCAAGACGGCAUGCCUCCCCUGUCUCUGCUCUUUGAAACCGGUUGCCUUAAGGGAGGUCAGACUCUAUGGAGAGAGAGGUCCAGCCAAGAUGAGCUAAGUGCCAGAGGCCUUGAUGUGUGAAUGAGACCAUCUUAGACUCUCCUGCCCCAGCGGAGCUGCCAGUUGACUGUAACGAGCAGGAGAACAGUCCAGCUGAUCACGGCCUGAACUGCUAACCCCCAUGAUUCCUGGAAAUAAUACAUGGUGGUUUUU